UACAGAGGGUGCAAGCGUUAUUCGGAAUCACUGGGCGUAAAGAGUUCGUAGGCGGUUUGUUAAGUCGAAUGUGAAAGCCCUGGGCUCAAUCCAGGAAGUGCAUUCGAUACUGGCAAGCUAGAGUGCAGGAGAGGAAGGCGGAAUUCCAGGUGUAGAGGUGAAAUUCGUAGAUAUCUGGAGGAACAACAGAGGCGAAGGCGGCCUUCUGGACUGUCACUGACGCUGAGGAACGAAAGCGUGGGGAGCAAACAGG
rnacentral:rRNA from 1 species